AACGAACGCUGGCGGCAUGCCUAACACAUGCAAGUCGAACGAGACCUUCGGGUCUAGUGGCGCACGGGUGCGUAACACGUGGGAACCUGCCCUUAGGUUCGGAAUAACUCCCCGAAAGGGGUGCUAAUACCGGAUAAUGUCUUCGGACCAAAGAUUUAUCGCCUUUGGAUGGGCCCGCGUUGGAUUAGCUAGUUGGUAGGGUAAAAGCCUACCAAGGCGACGAUCCAUAGCUGGUCUGAGAGGAUGAGCAGCCACACUGGGACUGGGACACGGCCCAGACUCCUACGGGAUGCAGCAGUGGGGAAUAUUGGACAAUGGGCGAAAGCCUGAUCCAGCAAUGCCGCGUAAGUGAUGAAGGCCUUAGGGUUGUAAAGCUCUUUUACUCGGGAUGAUAAUGACAGUACCGGGAGAAUAAGCUCCGGCUAACUCCGUG
rnacentral:rRNA from 1 species